rnacentral:miRNA from 10 species
ACUCCGUAUAUAAACAUAUAUA